rnacentral:tRNA from 1 species
GCCUGGGUGGCUCAGUCGGUGAAGUGUCUGAUUUCGGCUCAGGUUAUGAUCUCGCAGUUUGUGAGGUCGAGCCCCGCCUCGGGCU